UACGUAGGGGGCAAGCGUUGUCCGGAUUUAUUGGGCGUAAAGAGCGUGUAGGCGGCUUGGAAGGUCAGCUGUGAAAACUCGAGGCUCAACCUCGAGACGUCGGUUGAAACCACCUGGCUAGAGUCCGGAAGAGGAGUGUGGAAUUCCCGGUGUAGCGGUGAAAUGCGCAGAUAUCGGGAAGAACACCCGUGGUGAAGGCGGCACUCUGGGACGGUACUGACGCUGAGACGCGAAAGCGUGGGGAGCGAACAGG
rnacentral:rRNA from 1 species